ACGGACAGCAAAAGAACAGAAACGAAACGGCGGCUUAAACUUAACGUUUUUAAAAUGAUCACUCGGUCUUCUGCCCAGAUGGAGUGCAGUAGUUGAGCGCGUUGCGUUUGUAACCGUACCUGAAGAUUCAGCUCUGCCACUCAGUUGUCUUGCAGUUCCAAGAACUGAAUUUUUUUCCUGAUGUCUGAAGAUUACUGUUGAGCUUACUGCCUUUGGGUUGGAGGUUUCUCUUUCCUGCAUCCUGAAUUGUCUGGACUUGACUCACACCUGCUUGUUUUCAAAUCCUUUUUUUAAAUAAAACAAUCUCUCCAAUUAAGGUAGCACCAAAACAAAGAAAAAAACCCCUGCUUAUUCCAGGCAAUGGGAUUGAACAAGAUACUGAUGGCCAUUUUGAUACCAUAUUAACAACAAUAACAACUGUUGCAGGUGCAAAAAUAACUGAAAGGCAAUAUGCACAAUUGGAACAACCACACCGUAUAAUGGUAUGGCUCAAAUGUGAUUGCAAGCUAUUCUAUUUCAAAACAUCACUGCAGAUGGAUAGUUGGCUCUCUUCCCAGAAAUUAUUCUUCUUUUUAGUUAUUUUUAAAACCCAAGACACAAACAGAGUUCAGUGAACUUGGCAAAGUCCCAGGAAUUAAGUUGUGUGAAAAUCUGUGAGAUCCAAACAACUGCUCAGAAGGUCCACGAGCCCCAAGGGUAGGCUAUUUUCCUGCCCAUUGGUUGAAUAUUAAUAUCUUUGGGUAUGUCAGAAGGCCUCUUGUUCUUGAAUAUGUUGUGAGCUUCAAACCACUUUUUUAUGGAAAGCAGCAAAAAUAAGAAAAACAGGCCUAGAUUCUACUGGGUAUAUACACCUAAACUGCUAUUUGGAUAAAGUUUAUUAUAGAAAUAUACAUCCUCAAAGACCAUUUGUACUCUAGAAGACAAGAAGAUGAAGUUAUUUCUGUGUCCAAAUGUAUCCUUACUCAGGGUACAUCCAUUCUCAUAUAACACAGUACAUUUUUUUACUGUAAUGGAAUUCAAUUGAUAAAAUUCUAUCUGCAAAGAGAUUUAUCUUUCAUCAAUAGAUUUAAACAUUUUGGGGGAAAUCCUACCAAAAAGUCUUUUCAGUGCAAUAGUAAAGAGUGCUAAAAUGCUAAUAUUGCCAUUAUUAGAAUGCUAAUAAUGAAGCCUAAAGUUCCAUGCAACAGCAUCAGCUGGAUAAUGUUAGCUGUGGUUAAUAUAACUAUAAGCAAAUAUUGCAUAUCUGUUUGAAUUUUGUGACCACUAUUUUUUAUGUUUUAAUAUUUAAUAUUGGCUUUUCUAUUGUUCCUGUGAAUAUACCAUUUGCUGAUAGUCCAAUCCAAUCUUUACAAUUUAUUUUUGGGGUAAGGCAGGUUAUUGGAAGGCAAAUGUCCAUAUGUUCAAAAAGAGGCAAAGAGGAAGAUCUGAAGAAAUAAAGAUUACUUAGCUUGACUGUUAACUGAGAAGAUCCGGUGAACGUGCUGGCCUAGAAACCAGACUAUGAGUUCUAGUCCCACUUUAGGCAUGAAAGAUGGCUGGGUGACUUUGGGCCAGUCACUCUCUCUCAACCCAACCCAUUCAGAGAGUUAUUAUUGUGGAGAAAAUAGAAUGAAGGAGUAAUUGUGUGUUUUCACUGCCUUGAGUUACUUUAAAGGCAGGAUAAUAAUCUAAUAAAUAAAAGUCAGAAUGGUAUAUCAAGAA